GAUGAACGCUGGCGGCGUGCCUAAUACAUGCAAGUCGAGCGAAGCGGCGGACGGGUGAGUAACGCGUAGGUAACCUGCCCCUGACAGAGGGAUAGCCAUUGGAAACGAUGAUUAAAACCUCAUGGUCAGGGAUGGGCCUGCGUCUGAUUAACUAGUUGUUGAGGUAACGGCUCACCACUGCGACGAACAGUAGCCGACCUUAGAGGGUGAUCGGCCACAGUGGGACGGAGACACGUGGCAAACUUCUACGGAAGGCAGCAGUAGAGAAACUUGCGCAAUGGGCGAAAGCCUGAUGCAGAAACGCCGGGGGAAGGAUGAAGGCCUUCAGGUUGAAAACUUCUGUUCUAAGGGGAGCGGUACCUUAGGAACAAGCCCCGGCUGACGACGUGCCAGCAACCGCGGUAAUAC
rnacentral:rRNA from 1 species